AGUUUUUGUACGGUUGGAUACUCUUCCAACGCCACUAAUCUCUCCCCCAUUUCUGACAGAUAGUAAACAUUUGACAUACCUCCCAGUAGAUUGGGACCGAACCACGGUAAAUGGUAAGUGUCAGAAGGUGGCUGCUUAUCAACUGUUGGGGCCCAAAGUCUACAUGUUAACAAAGGUGUUUACAAACGGGUGGGGGGUAGAUCGGCCCUGGGAUGAGCGAUGUGUACCUAACUUGAGCACAGGGAUGUAUUAUCCGCACGUACCAACUGUAGCAGAAUACAGGAGGUCAGUGGAGAUGUUGGUGGCUAGAGACCAAGGGAUAAACUGGGAAACAGUGUGCAUAUCCUCAGGUGGAAGCAGAGAUAUAACCAAGGGCACGGGCUGAAUUCUGGAGAUUGAGUGUACAUCAAGAGACACCAGGCGGGGGUGUUGGAACAGCAUUGGUUUGAGAGACACUACUCCGUACAGUACCUGCAGUGGUUAAAAUCGUCAUGUCUCUCCUUGGGGGGUGCAUAGUUUUCACGUGAAGUGAGGUCCAACUGCAUAAUGGGAACAGAAGGGGAAAGUGGAGAAACUAAAAGCUGCUCCCUCUGCCAUUGAAGGAGACCGCAGAUUCAGCUGGAAUGGCAUUUUGUUGUGUGAUCAUAGUUCGGAGGCCAUAAGUCUCUGAAUUUGUACACCUUGCGGUGAAUGUUUGUUCAUUUGUUUGUUUGUUUAAUUCAUGUUUUAUAAUCAUUUGUUAGUUAUUUUUCUUUAUUUUUCUUAAA